GUGCUCACUUCAGCAGCACAUAUACUAAAAUUGGAACUAUACAGAGAAGAUUAGCAUGGCCCCUGCACAAGGAUGACAUGCAAAUUCGUGAAGCAUUCCAUAUUAAA
rnacentral:snRNA from 1 species